AUCAUCUGGAAAGAUGAAUCAAAGAAGGUAAUAAUCCUGUAGUCGAAAAUGUUGUCUCUCUUGAGUGGAUCCUGAGUACGACGGAGCACGUGAAAUUCCGUCGGAAUCUGGGAGGACCAUCUCCUAAGGCUAAAUACUCUCUAGUGACCGAUAGUGAACCAGUACCGUGAGGGAAAGGUGAAAAGCACCCCGGAAGGGGAGUGAAAUAGAACCUGAAACCGUGUGCUUACAAGUAGUCAGAGCCCGUUAAUGGGUGAUGGCGUGCCUUUUGUAGAAUGAACCGGCGAGUUACGAUUUGAUGCAAGGUUAAGCAGUAAAUGUGGAGCCGUAGCGAAAGCGAGUCUGAAUAGGGCGUUUAGUAUUUGGUCGUAGACCCGAAACCAGGUGAUCUACCCUUGGUCAGGUUGAAGUUCAGGUAACACUGAAUGGAGGACCGAACCGACUUACGUUGAAAAGUGAGCGGAUGAACUGAGGGUAGCGGAGAAAUUCCAAUCGAACCUGGAGAUAGCUGGUUCUCUCCGAAAUAGCUUUAGGGCUAGCCUCAAGUGAUGAUUAUUGGAGGUAGAGCACUGUUUGGACGAGGGGCCCCUCUCGGGUUACCGAAUUCAGACAAACUCCGAAUGCCAAUUAAUUUAACUUGGGAGUCAGAACAUGGGUGAUAAGGUCCGUGUUCGAAAGGGAAACAGCCCAGACCACCAGCUAAGGUCCCAAAAUAUAUGUUAAGUGGAAAAGGAUGUGGCGUUGCCCAGACAACUAGGAUGUUGGCUUAGAAGCAGCCAUCAUUUAAAGAGUGCGUAAUAGCUCACUAGUCGAGUGACACUGCGCCGAAAAUGUACCGGGGCUAAACAUAUUACCGAAGCUGUGGAUUGUCCUUUGGACAAUGGUAGGAGAGCGUUCUAAGGGCGUUGAAGCAUGAUCGUAAGGACAUGUGGAGCGCUUAGAAGUGAGAAUGCCGGUGUGAGUAGCGAAAGACGGGUGAGAAUCCCGUCCACCGAUUGACUAAGGUUUCCAGAGGAAGGCUCG
rnacentral:rRNA from 1 species